GCCUCGGUGGUGUAGUGGUAGCGCGUGUCCCCGGUAUGGUUGAAACGUGGGUUGGACUCCCAUCUGAGGUC